rnacentral:rRNA from 1 species
AUGAACGCUGGCGGCGUGCCUAACACAUGCAAGUCGAGCGGAGCAAUCUUGAUGAAGUUUUCGGAUGGAAUCAGGAUUGACUUAGCGGCGGACGGGUGAGUAACACGUGGAUAACCUGCCUUAUACUGGGGGAUAACAGCCAGAAAUGGCUGCUAAUACCGCAUAAGCGCACGGCGCCGCAUGGCGCAGUGUGAAAAACUCCGGUGGUAUAAGAUGGAUCCGCGCCUGAUUAGCUAGUUGGCGGGGCAGCGGCCCACCAAGGCGACGAUCAGUAGCCGGCCUGAGAGGGCGACCGGCCACAUUGGGACUGAGACACGGCCCAAACUCCUACGGGAGGCAGCAGUGGGGAAUAUUGCACAAUGGGGGGAACCCUGAUGCAGCGACGCCGCGUGAGUGAAGAAGUAUUUCGGUAUGUAAAGCUCUAUCAGCAGGGAAGAAGAUGACGGUACCUGACUAAGAAGCCCCGGCUAACUACGUG